rnacentral:rRNA from 1 species
GAUGAACGCUGGCGGCGUGCCUAAUACAUGCAAGUCGAGCGAACGGACGAGAAGCUUGCUUCUCUGAUGUUAGCGGCGGACGGGUGAGUAACACGUGGAUAACCUACCUCUAAGACUGGGAUAACUUCGGGAAACAGGAGCUAAUACCGGAUGAUAUUUUGAACCGCAUGGUUCAAAAGUGAAAGACGGUCUUGCUGUCACUUAUAGAUGGAUCCGCGCUGCAUUAGCUAGUUGGUAAGGUAACGGCUUACCAAGGCAACGAUGCAUAGCCGACCUGAGAGGAUGAUCGGCCACACUGGAACUGAGACACGGUCCAGACUCCUACGGGAGGCAGCAGUAGGGAAUCUUCCGCAAUGGGCGAAAGCCUGACGGAGCAACGCCGCGUGAGUGAUGAAGGUCUUCGGAUCGUAAAACUCUGUUAUUAGGGAAGAACAUAUGUGUAAGUAACUGUGCACAUCUUGACGGUACCUAAUCAGAAAGCCACGGCUAACUACGUG